AUGAUGCUCAAACUCAGGCAGUUUUUUACCCUUUUUCCUACCCUGAAUGUAAUAGUGUCUUCCUGUGUUGUAGGCACCCCUGUGCCAGUGGGAGUGUCUAUCUAUGUCUCCAGUAUUGAACAGAUCUCAGAAGUGACUAUGGACUAUACCAUUAGGAUGUUUUUUCAUCAGACCUGGAAAGAUCCACGUUUAGCAUAUCAUGAGACCAACCUGAACUUGACCCUGGACUAUCGGCUGCUUGAGAAAUUGUGGGUCCCUGACUGCUACUUUCUAAAUAGCAAGGAGGCUUUUGUUCAUGAUGCAACUGUGGAAAACCGCGUGUUUCAGCUUCACCCAGAUGGAACCGUGCGGUAUGGCAUCCGGCUCACCACCACAGCAGCUUGUUCCAUGAAUCUGGAAAAAUUCCCUCUGGACAAGCAGACCUGCAAGCUGGAGGUGGAGAGCUAUGGCUACACAGUUGAUGACAUCCUGCUCUACUGGGAAGGCAGUGGGAACGCCGUCCAGGGGACAGAGAAGCUUCACAUCCCUCAGUUCAGCUUCCUGGGAAAGACGAUCAGUACCAAAGAGGUGUUUUUCUACACAGGUUCCUAUGUGCGCCUGAUCCUGAGGUUCCUGGUCAAAAGGGAAGUCACCGGUUACCUUGUGCAGAUCUAUUGGCCCAGCAUCCUCACCACUGUUGUUUCUUGGAUAUCAUUUUGGAUGAACUAUGAAUCUUCUGCAGCCAGGGUGACAGUCGGUUUGACUUCAAUGCUUAUCCUGAACUCCAUCAACUCACAUCUGCGGAAUAAAUUCCCCCAAUUUUCCUGUAUCAAGGCCAUUGACAUCUAUAUGGUCGUAUGCUUCUUCUUCGUGUUCUUGUCCUUGGUGGAGUAUGUCUACAUCAACUACCUUUUCUACAACCGAAGAGGAUCCCGGCAUUCUCGGAGGCAACUCAGAAGAGCCCUGAGAGUCAUGGAGCGCUACCGCUACCAAGAGGCAGAGCAGCACCAUGUGCACAAGAGACGCCGGGAAGAAGAGGCAGUUUACCCAGUGGACGAGCCCAUCAAUCGUGCUGAUGAGGAAAGUCCUUCCUCUCCUCCCUCCCCAACAGUGGUUGUUCAUACAGCAUUCAAUGGCCAGGUUCACCUAGAAGAUGAAACUGACUCUCCUCCCUCCAGCCCACGGUGGGCCGGCCUAGCAAGCCCAGAAAGUCUUGGCUCUUUGACCUCCCUCACAAAGGAAGCACCACUGGCCUCCUCAGAAAGCCUCAGUUCACUGUCCUCUCUCUCUGAUGGGGCCUCGCUGGCCACCGCAGAAAGUCUGAGUGAUCUCCCGUCCACCUCAGAGCAGGUGGUGCAUGAUGAUGGCAUUCGAGUUAAUGGUAUUGAUGUUGAUAACAGUGUUGUUCCCACCAAAAUCUGCAACCGUGCUGAGGCCCAUGACCCAGAAGAAGACCCUGAAGAGAGCUCUGACUCCGAUGAGAGUGAAGACAAUGACCCCAGCAAGAAGCGUCUGCUUGUCCGUGGCCAGAGGCGUGUGCAAGAAGCAACCUAUGAGCUUCAGGAGAUCUGUAACACCCUUCAUGAUAUCCAUAGCUUACCCGAUGAUGUCAGAGUUGAGAGCGGCUACCUUGACCUUGAGGAGCAACUCAAGCGUAAAGUUGACAGUACCCGAAGCCUCCAUAGUGAUGAUUUUAUGGACUUUGAUGGAGACAAGGAGACCAACUCAGAGUCUGAUGACAGUUUUCCCCCAAGCCCUGGCUGCUCCUUCAGUAAAGGGUUCUCCUCCGAUCUCUUUCACCCUGACUACAUCCCUAAGGUUGACCGAUGCUCCCGGCUCCUCUUCCCUCUUGCCUUUGUGGUGUUCAACAUCGUGUACUGGGUGUAUCAUAUCUAUUAG
rnacentral:lncRNA from 1 species